rnacentral:lncRNA from 1 species
GUCGGAGACAGUUGGUUGCUCUGGCUUCUCCCGUGGCGGCGUUGGCGACAAGGCUGCCUUUAGCAGCAUGAACCCGCUGUGAGGCGCAGGCUUCGCGGCGCGGGGGGCGGGGGGAAGAGGAGGACGUCUAGGCGAAGUUCUCCGCCAUGAACCUGAGGGGCCUCUUUCAGGACUUCAACCCGAGUAAAUUCCUCAUCUAUGCUUGUUUGCUGCUGUUCUCUGUGCUACUAGCCCUUCGUUUGGAUGGCAUCAUUCAGUGGAGCUACUGGGCUGUCUUUGCUCCAAUAUGGUUAUGGAAGUUAAUGGUCAUUGUUGGCGCAUCAGUUGGAACUGGAGUUUGGGCAAGAAAUCCUCAAUAUCGAGCAGAAGGAGAAACAUGUGUGGAGUUUAAAGCCAUGUUAAUUGCUGUGGGCAUCCAUUUGCUCCUGCUGAUGUUUGAAGUUCUGGUCUGUGACAGGAUUGAGAGAGGAAGCCAUUUCUGGCUUCUGGUCUUCAUGCCAUUGUUCUUUGUUUCCCCAUGUACAGCAUAUUCUCUGUUAAAGUAUUUUUUUACAAGCUUGUGCUAGAGAUGGAUGGGUUAAGCUAUGGGAGAAGCAGAUAGCUCAACUGCUUUGUCUCAGGCAGAUGCCCCACCUUCACUUACCAUGACCACUGACAAUCUGGAAUUCCUGCCAGCACAGCUACUACAAGUGAGGAAAGCUCUGUGCUUUUCCAACAUGGGGUAUGGGAGAAGUGGCUUAACAGCCCAAGAAGUGCCCCUUGAGACCAGGACACUAGAGAAGGUUGCUAAGGCAGGCCAGAAACAACCAGGGACUCCUGUCAAAGUCCAGAGCAUUCUGCCCACCUGCAAGAAAAACACUGCACACUGAACAUGCAGAUACGAUCACCUGUUAGUAGUUUCUCCAGGCUCUGCUGGUAUAGCCAUCAUACCAGAAAAAUAACCUUCAGUCUAAAUCAAAUGAUUCAUUUCCCAAUGGAAGUAAAGGGAGCCUUGAUCUUUCUGAUCAGGAGGUAUAAUGUGUUUUCAUGGUCACCUGGUCAGUAGCUUCAGUCACACAUAAUUGAAGUCUACUAUGACACAAAUCCUACCCUUGGCACAGGCUUCCAGUGAGCCUAUUCUGUUUCAGGAGAAAGGGGAAACAGUGUAGCAUUUUUUUGUUUGGUCUCUUAAAAAUGUGGUUAAAUCCACUAUUUUUGCUCCUGUAGUUCAAUAAAGUGAUUCAUUUUA